UACGUAGGGUGCAAGCGUUGUCCGGAAUUAUUGGGCGUAAAGAGCUCGUAGGCGGUUUGUCGCGUCUGCUGUGAAAACCCGAGGCUCAACCUCGGGCCUGCAGUGGGUACGGGCAGACUAGAGUGCGGUAGGGGAGAUUGGAAUUCCUGGUGUAGCGGUGGAAUGCGCAGAUAUCAGGAGGAACACCAAUGGCGAAGGCAGAUCUCUGGGCCGUAACUGACGCUGAGGAGCGAAAGCGUGGGGAACAAACAGG
rnacentral:rRNA from 1 species